ACGUAUCAUGCGACGGCGGAGAGGUUGGGUGAGAAAGGAGAGAGAAAAGGCCAGAGACAUCAGUCGAGUGAGGAUCUCCGACACGGAAACAUCUGCUGCGCACUAUCUGUCACCUUCUGCCUUCUUCACCGUAUUGCCAGUUCGCAUCCAUGGUUAAUGGGUGUUGUAUCGUUGUUUGGUGGGUCGACCACUGGUGUACCGAUGUCUUCUUGGUAUGGCGGAUACCAAGCCGCAGACCAGUUAUUGCACCAAGGUCUACAAGUACUACACUACUAAGGCACCGGAGUUUUAUACCACAAUUUCCGCUGCCCCGAGCCACUACACUGACGUCCUGAAGUAUUACUCUGCCCCGAGUUACUACACCACCAAGGCGACGGAGUAUGACUAUGCAUGCUGCCCCAUCCUACUACAUCGAGGCUCCCAAGUAUUACUGUGUUCUGAGCUACUUAUUGCGCCGAUUUUCCUAAAUACUACUCUGUUCCCAGCUGCUACACCGAGGCUCCCGCUGAUUACUCCACCGAGGCUCCCGCUGAUUACUCCACCGAGGCUC